rnacentral:rRNA from 1 species
UGGGGAAUAUUGGACAAUGGGCGAAAGCCUGAUCCAGCCAUGCCGCGUGUGUGAAGAAGGUCUUCGGAUUGUAAAGCACUUUAAGUUGGGAGGAAGGGCAGUAAGCGAAUACCUUGCUGUUUUGACGUUACCGACAGAAUAAGCACCGGCUAACUCUGUGCCAGCAGCCGCGGUAAUACAGAGGGUGCAAGCGUUAAUCGGAAUUACUGGGCGUAAAGCGCGCGUAGGUGGUUCGUUAAGUUGAAUGUGAAAGCCCCGGGCUCAACCUGGGAACUGCAGCCAAAACUGGCGAGCUAGAGUAGGGCAGAGGGUGGUGAAAUUUCCUGUGUAGCGGUGAAAUGCGUAGAUAUAGGAAGGAACACCAGUGGCGAAGGCGACCACCUGGGCUCAUACUGACACUGAGGUGCGAAAGCGUGGGGAGCAAACAGG